rnacentral:rRNA from 1 species
UACGAAGGGGGCUAGCGUUGUUCGGAAUUACUGGGCGUAAAGCGCACGUAGGCGGAUUGGCAAGUCAGAGGUGAAAUCCCGGGGGCUCAACCUCGGAACUGCCUUUGAUACUGCCCAGUCUAGAGUCCGGAAGAGGUGGGUGGAAUUCCUAGUGUAGAGGUGAAAUUCGCAGAUAUUAGGAAGAACACCAGUGGCGAAGGCGGCCCACUGGUCCGGAACUGACGCUGAGGUGCGAAAGCGUGGGGAGCAAACAGG